rnacentral:rRNA from 1 species
GAUGAACGCUGGCGGCGUGCCUAAUACAUGCAAGUCGAGCGAACGGACGAGAAGCUUGCUUUUCUGAUGUUAGCGGCGGACGGGUGAGUAACCCGUGGAUAACCUACCUAUAAGACUGGGAUAACUUCGGGACACCGGAGCUAAUACCGGAUAAUAUUUUGAACCGCAUGGUUCAAAAGUGAAAGACGGUCUUGCUGUCACUUAUAGAUGGAUCCGCGCUGCAUUAGCUAGUUGGUAAGGUAACGGCUUACCAAGGCAACGAUGCAUAGCCGACCUGAGAGGGUGAUCGGCCACACUGGAACUGAGAGACGGGCCAGACUCCUACGGGAGGCAGCAGUAGGGAAUCUUCCGCAAUGGGCGAAAGCCUGACGGAGCAACGCCGCGUGAGUGAUGAAGGUCUUCGGAUCGUAAAACUCUGUGAUUAGGGAAGAACAUAUGUGUAAGUAACUGUGGACAUCUUGACGGUACCUAAUCAGAAAGCCACGGCUAACUACGUG